UGAGCUGCGCGAGGCGGAGGGUCACCUGCGUCAAGGAGCUGGUUUUGAGUGGCCAGGCGUGGGUUCUCACUAUGUUGCUUAAGCUGGUCCAGAACUCAAGCCAGUCUCUCACUUCAGCCUCUUGAGUCGUUGGGAUUACAGAAGCCACCAUGUCCAACUGCUGAUCUUGAACUCCUGGGCUCAAGCGAUCCUCCCACCUCGGCCUCCCAAUGUGUUGGGAUUACAGGCGUGAGUUGCGGCGCCCAGCUGAUAUGUAUACUUUUCUAUAGGUAUAUUACACUUCAAUAAAAAGUUUGAAACAGAA
rnacentral:lncRNA from 10 species